GAUGAACGCUGGCGGCGUGCCUAAUACAUGCAAGUCGAGCGAACAGAUGAGGAGCUUGCUCCUCUGACGUUAGCGGCGGACGGGUGAGUAACACGUGGAUAACCUACCUAUAAGACUGGGAUAACUUCGGGAAACCGGAGCUAAUACCGGAUAAUAUGUUGAACCGCAUGGUUCAAUAGUGAAAGACGGUUUUGCUGUCACUUAUAGAUGGAUCCGCGCCGCAUUAGCUAGUUGGUAAGGUAACGGCUUACCAAGGCAACGAUGCGUAGCCGACCUGAGAGGGUGAGCGGCCACCCUGGAACUGAGACACGGUCCAGACUCCUACGGGAGGCAGCAGUAGGGAAUCUUCCGCAAUGGGCGAAAGCCUGACGGAGCACCGCCGCGUGAGUGAUGAAGGUCUUCGGAUCGUAAAACUCUGUUAUUAGGGAAGAACAAAUGUGUAAGUAACUAUGCACGUCUUGACGGUACCUAAUCAGAAAGCCACGGCUAACUACGUG
rnacentral:rRNA from 1 species